rnacentral:rRNA from 1 species
GACGAACGCUGGCGGCGUGCCUAACACAUGCAAGUCGAGCGAAGUGAUUUCGAAUGAAAUUUUCGGAUGGAUUUUGGAAUUAUCUUAGCGGCGGACGGGUGAGUAACGCGUGAGGAACCUGCCUUUCACAAAGGGAUAGCCUCGGGAAACUGGGAUUAAUACCUUAUGACACUUUAACCUCGCAUGGGGAAUAAGUUAAAGCGUAAAGCGGUGGAAGAUGGUCUCGCGUCCUAUUAGCUAGUUGGUGAGGUAACGGCUCACCAAGGCGACGAUAGGUAGCCGACCUGAGAGGGUGAACGGCCACACUGGAACUGAGACACGGUCCAG